AGGAUAAACGCUGGCGGCGUGCCUAACACAUGCAAGUCGAACGCGCUUUUUUCGCAAGAGGAGAGCGAGUGGCGGACGGGUGAGUAACACAUGGGUACCUACCUUGGAGUGAGGGAUACCGGCGAGAAAUCGCCGACAAUACCGCAUACGCUUCUCUUCACCGGGAAGCAAAGUUGCGCAAGCGACGCUCUGAGAUGGGCCUGUGGCCGAUUAGCUAGUUGGUGGGGUAACGGCCUACCAAGGCGACGAUCGGUAGCUGGUCUGAGAGGACGAUCAGCCACACUGGGAUUGAGAACGGCCCAGACUCCUACGGGGGCAGCAGUGAGGAAUUUUCCGCAAAUGACGCAAGUCUGACGGAGCAACGCCGCGUGCAGGAUGAAGGUUUUCGGAUUCGUAAAACUGCUUUUCUCGGGGACGAGGCAAGGACGGUACCCGAGGAAGAAGCCCCGGCUAACUACGUGCCAGCAGCCGC
rnacentral:rRNA from 1 species